CACGCAACCUCUCUGUCCCACUCCUUCGCCCCAUCUUCUUCCUCCCUUCUCUCCUCUCUCCUCCAUUACUCAUCAUCUCCUCAACCUCCACCCCACAAAACGCUGCGUUAUACUUUCUCUCGAAGAAGGUUGGUUCUCUUUGCGCGUGUCCCGUCCUCUUCUCCAUUACGCAAAACCCUAAUUGAUCAAAACCCAUUAUCUAGAUUUACGUAUAUAACCAAAUGGAGGUCAAGCUAUGGAAUGACAAGCGAGAAAGAGAAAUGUAUGAGAACUUUGCAGAACUCUAUGCUAUAAUAAAAGCCACGGAGAAGCUUGAAAAGGCUUACGUUCGUGACAUAAUUUCAUCGGCUGAGUAUGAGCCAGAAUGUCAAAAACUCAUUGCCCAUUUCAAAACCCUUGCUUCCACGCUCAAAGAUACCAUCCCUAGCAUUGAGCGCUUUGCAGACACCUACAAAAUGGAUUGCCCUGCAGCCAUCAACCGCCUUGUGACCUCCGGAGUGCCUGCCACAGUUGAGCAUCGGUCUGCUGCAGCUGCAUCAGCCACUACCUCAGCCGCCGUUGUGGCAGAGUGCGUGCAGAACUUCAUUACAGCCAUGGAUUCAUUGAAGUUGAACAUGGUGGCGGUUGAUCAGGUGCAUCCUCUGCUGUCGGACCUCUUUGCUUCUCUCAACAAGUUGAGCAUCUUGCCACCUGAUUAUGAAGGGAAGACCAAGAUGAAGGAGUGGAUUGGGAGGUUGUCAAAGAUGGGAGCUGCUGAUGAAUUAACAGAGCAGCAAGCUCGGCAGCUUCACUUUGAUCUAGAGUCAUCUUACAACUCCUUCAUGGCUGCGUUGCCUAAUGCUGGUACCUGAUUUAUUGGGGUAAGCAUGUAUAUAGGCAUCCCUGUUAUGUUUUGUUUGGGUGAUUUAAUAUAUACUGUCUUGUAUUUGGUAGAACCUUGAUGAUUGUGGAAGUGACCUCUUAUUCCGUAACACUUUACACAUUUUGGCAAAGAUGGCAUUGUGGAUCUCCAUACCAAUAUUUUGUGCGACAUGUAGCAGCAAUUGGCAGUCUCUUAACAUCUGUAUAAUCUCUCAUUUGGAGUUUGUUUAUUGUAUAUCUCAUCCCCCAUUUAUGGGUCAUCUUGGCAAUAGUAGUGUGUUUCUUCCCCUCUAUUUAGAA